rnacentral:rRNA from 1 species
GUGCCAGCCGCCGCGGUAAUACGAAGGUGGCAAGCGUUACUCGGAAUUACUAGGCGUAAAGGGCAGGUAGGUGGUUUGAUAAGUCUGUUGUGAAAGCUCCCGGCUUAACUGGGAGAGGUCAACAGAAACUAUCAGGCUUGAGUAUGGGAGAGGGUACUGGAAUUCCCGGUGUAGCGGUGAAAUGCGCAGAGAUCGGGAGGAACACCUAUGGCGAAAGCAGGUACCUGGACCAUUACUGACACUCAGCUGCGAAAGCUAGGGGAGCAAACAGGAUUAGAAACCCUGGUAGUCC